CGGGGCCCUCCAUUAGACACGGGCUAAAAGUGCGAGGCGACGGGAGAAACAUGAAAACUGCCGGAGGUGGAAGUGGAAGGGGAGAAAGGGACUUUUCAGACGCGCAGAGCUGCGCAGAGCUUCGGGACCCAAAGGCUCAUGGUGACCUUGUGAUUUAUGGCGCAGCGCUGGAGGAGCAGAUCAGAAUACAGCUGCCCCACAGCUACACACAAACAUGUGUCCGACUCCUGCGCAACCUCGACUUCCUUAAGGUUCCUUAACUUCCUACCUUAACCUGAAGUCCCAAUCUGCAGUCAAACCAGUGCAGCUCUGGACUGAAUGUCUUCCAGCUGUUAGAUAAGAAGAAAUUAUAAUAAAACAAAUGUAUCAGCA